AAAGAAAGAAAGAAAGAAAGAAAGAUGGAUAGAUUAGUUAGAAAGAAAGAUAGAUUAAUUAGUCAAAAAGAAAGAAAGAAAGAAAGAAAGAAAGAUGGAUAGAUUAGUUAGAAAGAAAGAUAGAUUAAUUAGUUAGAAAGAAAGAAAGAUAGAUUUGUUAGAAAGAAAGAUAGAU